UACGAAGGGGGCUAGCGUUGUUCGGAAUUACUGGGCGUAAAGCGAACGUAGGCGGUGUUCCAUGUCAGAGGUGAAAGCCUGGGGCUCAACUCCAGAAUUGCCUUUGAAACGGGGACGCUUGAGUCCGAGAGAGGAUGGCGGAAUUCCUAGUGUAGAGGUGAAAUUCGUAGAUAUUAGGAAGAACACCGGUGGCGAAGGCGGCUCACUGGCUCGGUACUGACGCUGAGGUGCGAAAGCGUGGGGAGCAAACAGG
rnacentral:rRNA from 1 species